rnacentral:rRNA from 1 species
ACGUAUGGUGCAAGCGUUAUCCGGAUUUACUGGGUGUAAAGGGAGCGUAGACGGAGUGGCAAGCCUGAUGUGAAAACCCGGGGCUCAACCCCGGGACUGCAUUGGAAACUGUCAAUCUAGAGUACCGGAGAGGUAAGCGGAAUUCCUAGUGUAGCGGUGAAAUGCGUAGAUAUUAGGAGGAACACCAGUGGCGAAGGCGGCUUACUGGACGGUAACUGACGUUGAGGCUCGAAAGCGUGGGGAGCAAACAG